GGCAGAGGAGCUCUGUGAGCUUCUAAUGAGCUUCCCCGGCGAUGGCUCGACGCCAGAUCUCUUCAUGGGCUGCUUCCAGACGAUGCUUGAUGCCCCUGUCCCCGAUGACCACAGGGCGUCCUACCUGCAGGAGGCAGUCUCUGUUUUCACCAACAUACUUUGCGAGUACUCAUCCUAGUCCUAUGGGACUCAUGGCAUAGUUCCUACGGAUGAUCCAUGACAUAGUUCCUAUGGUGCUCAAGUCAGUCACGGAAUCCGGGUUGCGCAAGAGCUCUGAAUUGGCACACCACGCAUUUGGAACAAGUUACAGAGAUUCCCAUGUCUGAAGCUGAGGGAAAUGUAGAACAUUGCCAUGGUCGGUGCAGACAAUUGCCCACCCCUGCAAACGCAUGAGGAAACCUGACGAUAUUUUUCUGCACGCGUGCCACUUUUCUUGUAACCCGUGUGCCGCACCCAUUCGGGCAUCGUCUUUUUUGUUAUUAUUGUUACGUAGAACAAUAACUCAUGUAGGGUUGUAGUAGAGUGUUUGUGUGUGUUGAAAUGCCAAAGAGUCGGUUGUAGAUUUAUCGCAGGCAAUACGUAGGCUGAUCUUGUUGUUUUGUGGCGUGCGGAUACUGCUUUUCGCGAACCAUGUGAAAGCUGUGGUUUGUUCAAAGGAGAGCGACGAGUGCUUUCGGUGUAAUACCGGGGACGGUAGCAGCACAGCCCACAUGCGUGGGUCACCGGUUUUCGCUCGUUCUCCGUAUGGUGUGUGUCAAGUAGUAUUUCUCAUCGGCCAAAUCAUUGGAGGAAAUGGUUUAUCUUCACGGCAGGAGACAGCGACGCGUUCGCUUCCCACUCACAAGGCACCGUACACCUUCUUCCUUUUCGUAAUAGCAUCAAGUACGGCCGGCUCGAGAAUUCGUCGUCAUAGUCAUCGUUCUAAAACAAAAGGGAUUUCGUCGGUACGUGCUUGCCGUCGUGUACUCCAAGUCGCCAACAACCGGAAGAUAAAACAAGAUUUGUGCCCGUGACUGUGCAGGGGCCUGGAAGAUACAUAUCUCCAACGCCAAUAGCCCCGUGCCUUGCCACCACGUUUGCCACGUCGGGUUCCGGCGACGGCGAGGGUCGCGAACCCACCACCGGCCAACGGGAUUUUAUAGAAGGAGACCGACCACCGAAAACAGCUCCCGCAGCAGGUGGCGCCCAACGGCACCCGGUAAUAAACAAAACCGGCGAUGGCGACACGAACCCACGACGCAGAGUCUUAUCCGGACCGAGCAGAGCACACCGAGUAGCGAGACCCGUCCCGGUAUCCUAUAAAAUGCACCUCACAUCGGAGGAUCCAUCCACAGCAUACAGAGCAAACCAAAGCAUCCAGGUUCCAGAGCAGCAGCAGUUUCGAGCUGAGUUGAGUGUUCUUGGGGUUGCCAAUGGCGGACAUCGCGAUGCUGGUGGCGGAGGAGCACGAGAAGAGGCUGAAGCGAGGGGCGCCCCGCGUCGUCGCCGCCGCGGCCGCCGACGAGGAGGAGGAGGCGUCCAAGGNNNNNNN
rnacentral:lncRNA from 1 species